UAUCAAUAAGCGGAGGAAAAGAAACCAACAGGGAUUGCCUUAGUAACUGCGAGUGAAGCGGCAUCAGCUCAAAUUUGAAAUCUGGCGUCUUCGGCGUCCGAGUUGUAAUUUGGAGGGGCAUCUUCGGGGAGGACGCAGGUCUAAGUUCCUUGGAACAGGACGUCAUAGAGGGUGAGAAUCCCGUCAUUGGCUUGCUGCUCCUCUCCAUGUGAAGUGCCUCCGACGAGUCGAGUUGUUUGGGAAUGCAGCUCAAAAUGGGUGGUAAACUUCAUCUAAAGCUAAAUACUGGCGAGAGACCGAUAGCGCACAAGUAGAGUGAUCGAAAGAUGAAAAGCACUUUGAAAAGAGAGUUAAAAAGUACGUGAAAUUGUUGAAAGGGAAGCGCUUGAGACCAGACUCAGCGGGAGGUGAUCAGCGGUGCUUUUGUGCCGUGCACUCGCCUUCUGUUGGGCCAGCAUCGGUUUCGGUGGCGGGAUAAAGGCCGGGGGAAUGUGGCUCCUCUCGGGGAGUGUUAUAGCCCCUGGUGCAAUGCCGCCUACCGGGACCGAGGACCGCGCUUCGGCUAGGAUGCUGGCGUAAUGGUCUUCAGCGACCCGUCUUGAAACACGGACCAAGGAGUCUAACAUCUAUGCGAGUGUUCGGGUGGAAAACCCUUGCGCGUAAUGAAAGUGAACGGAGGUGGGAACCCGCAAGGGUGCACCAUCGACCGAUCCUGAUGUCUUCGGAUGGAUUUGAGUAGGAGCAUAGCUGUUGGGACCCGAAAGAUGGUGAACUAUGCCUGAAUAGGGUGAAGCCAGAGGAAACUCUGGUGGAGGCUCGCAGCGGUUCUGACGUGCAAAUCGAUCGUCAAAUUUGGGUAUAGGGGCGAAAGACUAAU
rnacentral:rRNA from 1 species